rnacentral:rRNA from 1 species
GACGAACGCUGGCGGCGUGCUUAACACAUGCAAGUCGAACGGAAAGGCCCUGCUUUUGUGGCGUGCUCGAGUGGCGAACGGGUGAGUAACACGUGAGUAACCUGCCCUUGACUUUGGGAUAACUUCAGGAAACUGGGGCUAAUACCGGAUAGGAGCUCCUGCUGCAUGGUGGGGGUUGGAAAGUUUCGGCGGUUGGGGAUGGACUCGCGGCUUAUCAGCUUGUUGGUGGGGUAGUGGCUUACCAAGGCUUUGACGGGUAGCCGGCCUGAGAGGGUGUCCGGCCACAUUGGGACUGAGAUACGGCCCAGACUCCUACGGGAGGCAGCAGUGGGGAAUAUUGCACAAUGGGCGGAAGCCUGAUGCAGCAACGCCGCGUGCGGGAUGACGGCCUUCGGGUUGUAAACCGCUUUCGCCUGUGACGAAGCGUGAGUGACGGUAAUGGGUAAAGAAGCACCGGCUAACUACGUG